rnacentral:misc_RNA from 1 species
GAUGAGAACGUAGCGAAAUGCGAUAAGUAAUGUGAAUUGCAGAAUUCAGUGAAUCAUCGAAUCUUUGAACGCACCUUGCACCCUUUGGCAUUCCGAAGGGUAUGCUCGUUUGAGUGUCAUUGUACUCUCACACUCCCACUCUUUUGGAUUGGGAGCGGUGGACUUGGGUGUUGCUGCUUCACUGUGGCUCGCCUCAAAUGGAGUAGUGCAACUCUCGGUUGGACAUAGUACGGCGUGAUAAGUGUCUUCGCCGGCGCCUCACUAGAGGGUGGCCGAUCGGGAGCUCUGUGCUUCAAACCGUCUUCGGACAAUCUCUGACAACUUGACCUCAAAUCGAGUAGGACUACCCGCUGAACUUAAGCAUAUCAAUAAGCGGAGGA